AAGCGGAGGAAAAGAAACCAACAGGGAUUGCCUCAGUAACGGCGAGUGAAGCGGCAAAAGCUCAAAUUUGAAAUCCCCCGGGAAUUGUAAUUUGAAGAGAUUUGGGUCCGGCCGGCAGGGGUUAAGUCCACUGGAAAGUGGCGCCACAGAGGGUGACAGCCCCGUGAACCCCUUCAACGCCYUCAUCCCAGAUCUCCAAGAGUCGAGUUGUUUGGGAAUGCAGCUCUAAGUGGGUGGUAAAUUCCAUCUAAAGCUAAAUACCGGCGAGAGACCGAUAGCGAACAAGUACAGUGAUGGAAAGAUGAAAAGCACUUUGAAAAGAGAGUGAAAAAGUACGUGAAAUUGUUGAAAGGGAAGGGCUUGCAAGCAGACACUUAACUGGGCCAGCAUCGGGGCGGCGGGAAACAAAACCACCGGGGAAUGUACCUUUCGAGGAUUAUAACCCCGGU
rnacentral:rRNA from 1 species